UCCAUAAAGAGCUCAUCGUAAUGUGUCCUG
rnacentral:piRNA from 1 species